rnacentral:lncRNA from 10 species
GCGCAGGUGCAGAAAACACGCCGACGGACCGAGAGGCGACCUUGUCCCUGGUAGCGGAAGCAGGAGCAACGGCAGGAGGGAUGCGGAGCGCUCAGCUGCAGCCGCGCUUCUCGCCGGCGCCCUCGCUGCCCGAGCACAAGGACAGCCGCCCCGCCCGUUCCACCCGGUGCCCAAGGUCCCCCAGCUUCUCUGACCCCUCCGGCGUUUGCGGAACCUCCCGGGUCUGACGAGGACACCGCCGUUGCCCGAGGAGGCUACGGGGCAACGCAGAGCAGGCAGUGGGGACCGCAGGGCAGCCCCGGGGCGCCGUCCCCACCGCCCUUACCCUGGCUUCGCCUUGCCGCCGCGGGGAAUCCGGUGCGGACGCACGCGAACUCUGCCCGGGAGCCGAGGUGACGAUCUACCUGGUCUCGGUAAUAAGUAUUUGCAAAACACAUCACACCAAAAUCCCGUUAACUUCAUGAAAACUCACUUUAUAGGAUGAUUUUUGAAGAACCAGUUUAUUAAGAGAUUACACCAAAAGCAUAAACAAUUUAUACGUCAAACUCCGACUGAAAAAAAAAUAACCGAUAAGGAUGUUUUUUAAAUGUACUGUACUCACAAAUAACAAGACAAAUUUGACCUGUUCAAUAAAUAGAAAUGAAGUGGCUAAAAAUGUUUAAAUGGAAA